rnacentral:rRNA from 1 species
GAAGUUAUUAAGGGCGCACGGUGGAUGCCUUGGCACUAGAAGCCGAUGAAGGACGUUACUAACGACGAUAUGCUUUGGGGAGCUGUAAGUAAGCGUUGAUCCAGAGAUUUCCGAAUGGGGAAACCCAGCAUGAGUUAUGUCAUGUUAUCGAUAUGUGAAUACAUAGCAUAUCAGAAGGCAGACCCGGAGAACUGAAACAUCUUAGUACCCGGAGGAAGAGAAAGAAAAAUCGAUUCCCUGAGUAGCGGCGAGCGAAACGGGAAGAGCCCAAACCAACAAGCUUGCUUGUUGGGGUUGUAGGACACUCUAUACGGAGUUACAAAAGUAUAUAUUAGACGAAUCAUCUGGAAAGUUGAAUCAAAGAAGGUAAUAAUCCUGUAGUCGAAAAUAUAUACUCUCUUGAGUGGAUCCUGAGUACGACGGAGCACGUGAAAUUCCGUCGGAAUCUGGGAGGACCAUCUCCUAAGGCUAAAUACUCUCUAGUGACCGAUAGUGAACCAGUACCGUGAGGGAAAGGUGAAAAGUACCCCGGAAGGGGAGUGAAAGAGAACUUGAAACCGUGUGCUUACAAGUAGUCAGAGCCCGUUAAUGGGUGAUGGCGUGCCUUUUGUAGAAUGAACCGGCGAGUUACGAUUUGAUGCAAGGUUAAGCAGCUAAUGUGGAGCCGUAGCGAAAGCGAGUCUGAAUAGGGCGUUUAGUAUUUGGUCGUAGACCCGAAACCAGGUGAUCUACCCUUGGUCAGGUUGAAGUUCAGGUAACACUGAAUGGAGGACCGAACCGACUUACGUUGAAAAGUGAGCGGAUGAACUGAGGGUAGCGGAGAAAUUCCAAUCGAACUUGGAGAUAGCUGGUUCUCUCCGAAAUAGCUUUAGGGCUAGCCUCAAGUGAUGAUUAUUGGAGGUAGAGCACUGUUUGGACGAGGGGCCCUUCUCGGGUUACCGAAUUCAGACAAACUCCGAAUGCCAAUCAAUUUAACUUGGGAGUCAGAACAUGGGUGAUAAGGUCCGUGUUCGAAAGGGAAACAGCCCAGACCACCAGCUAAGGUCCCAAAAUAAUGGUUAAGUGGAAAAGGAUGUGGCGUUGCCCAGACAACUAGGAUGUUGGCUUAGAAGCAGCCAUCAUUUAAAGAGUGCGUAAUAGCUCACUAGUCGAGUGACACUGCGCCGAAAAUGUACCGGGGCUAAACAUAUUACCGAAGCUGUGGAUUGUCCGUAGGACAAUGGUAGGAGAGCGUUCUAAGGGCGUCGAAGCAUGAUCGCAAGGACAUGUGGAGCGUUAUGAAGUGAGAAUGCCGGUGUGAGUAGCGAAAGACGGGUGAGAAUCCCGUCCACCGAUUGACUAAGGUUUCCAGGAGGAGGCUCGUCCGCUCUGGGUUAGUCGGGUCCUAAGCUGAGGCCGACAGGCGUAGGCGAUGGAUAACAGGUUGAUAUUCCUGUACCACCUAGUAUCGUUUUAAUCGAUGGGGGGACGCAGUAGGAUAGGCGAAGCGUGCUAUUGGAUUGCACGUCCAAGCAGUAAGACUGAGUGUUAGGCAAAUCCGGCACUCAUAAGGUCAAGCUGUGAUGGGGAGAGAAAGUUGUUUGCUCGAGUCGUUGAUUUCACACUGCCAAGAAAAGCCUCUAGAUAGAUAACAGGUGCCCGUACCGCAAACCGACACAGGUAGUCAAGAUGAGAAUUCUAAGGUGAGCGAGCGAACUCUCGUUAAGGAACUCGGCAAAAUGACCCCGUAACUUCGGGAGAAGGGGUGCUCUUUAGGGUUAACGCCCAGAAGAGCCGCAGUGAAGAGCCCAAGCCGACUGUUUAUCAAAAACACAGGUCUCUGCUAAACCGUAAGGUGAUGUAUAGGGGCUGACGCCUGCCCGGUGCUGGAAGGUUAAGAGGAGUAGUUAGCCUCUGCGAAGCUACGAAUCGAAGCCCCAGUAAACGGCGGCCGUAACUAUAACGGUCCUAAGGUAGCGAAAUUCCUUGUCGGGUAAGUUCCGACCCGCACGAAAGGCGUAACGAGUGAGGGGCUGUCUCAGGGAGGGAUCCAGUGAAAUUGUAGUGGAGGUGAAAAUUCCUCCUACCCGCGGCAAGACGGAAAGACCCCGUGGACCUUUACUACAGCUUGGCAUUGUAGGUGGGAUAUCCAUGUGCAGGAUAGGUGGGAGGCUGAGAAGCCCGGGCGCCAGCUCGGGUGGAGCCGACCUUGAGAUACCACCCUUGGAUAUCCUGCCUACUAACCCGCAGGAGUAAUCCUCCUGGGGGACAGUGCCUGGUGGGUAGUUUGACUGGGGCGGUCGCCUCCUAAAGAGUAACGGAGGCUCACAAAGGUUGGCUCAAGGCGGUUGGAAAUCGCCUGAAGAGUGUAAAGGCACAAGCCAGCCUGACUGCGAGACACACAGGUCGAGCAGAGACGAAAGUCGGUCUUAGUGAUCCGGUGGCGCUGAGUGGAAGGGCCAUCGCUCAAAGGAUAAAAGGUACCCCGGGGAUAACAGGCUGAUCUCCCCCGAGAGCUCACAUCGACGGGGAGGUUUGGCACCUCGAUGUCGGCUCAUCGCAUCCUGGGGCUGGAGCAGGUCCCAAGGGUAUGGCUGUUCGCCAUUUAAAGCGGUACGCGAGCUGGGUUCAGAACGUCGUGAGACAGUUCGGUCCCUAUCUGCCGUGGGCGUAGGAAGGUUGAGGAGAGCUGACCCUAGUACGAGAGGACCGGGUUGGACGAGCCACUGGUGUACCAGUUGUCCUGCCAAGGGCAGUGCUGGGUAGCCAAGCUCGGAAGGGAUAACCGCUGAAAGCAUCUAAGCGGGAAGCCCACUCCAAGAUGAGCCUUCCCAUGAGGGUGCAGGAAGACUACCUGCUAGAUAGGCUGGGGGUGUAAGCCCUGCGAGGGGUUGAGCUGACCAGUACUAAUAACCCGAAUGGCUU